rnacentral:misc_RNA from 1 species
AUUUUCCUCCACAAAGCGGCAAACGCACACAGUCACCUCCAAACAACGAUCACUUUCGGAUUCGGCUUUGAGUGACCCGCCAUUGCUACGACGGACGGCAGAGGUAUGAGCUACAGAGAGGGGCGCAUUCGUUCGAGGCAUUCCAUCUCUCCACGCUCUUGCUCAGGCACACCCUGGCACAGACACGCGCAUAUACGCUCAAGCAACAGAGGGCCGUUCGCACGCCUGCCCGCGGAUACAUAGAGAGAAAGAGCGGCACAAAGGUAAUAGUACAAAACAUAAAAACAAGGGGCUCUGCUUCUUGGUAUUCUGGGGGUUUGACCAAGCCGGUGUGCAAUGCAGCCUUCUGCGAACCAUACUAUUUCUGCGUCCCGGCUUAGCGCUGUUUUGGCGCAGUGGCGGGCUGCUGCUGCCCGUGGAGACGCAGCGGCGAAGCAGUGCUCGGCGUGGGCUUGUGUCUUUGGCGAGCGUAGCGUCAACACUCCCGAUAACCAGCGUGGGCAGGCGAUCCUUCAGUACCUCCUGGAGGCGAAAGAGCCGGUAUGCAACACCGCCGUGCUCAUCACGGAGGAUGUGACGCUCAUUCUUCACGGUGCAGGCGUGCGCGUUGCGGCGCCGCUGACAAAGCUCGAGGGUCAUACCAUCGAGGUGGUCGAGGGGGUCGAGGCGGCACAGGCGCGAGCCACUGCCCUGCUCGCCGGAAAGACGGUUGGUGCCCCGGUUAACGAGUUUGCAAUUCAGGAGGGCCCAUUUGCGUCAGCCUUCACUGAGCUCGUGCGCGGAGCCGUGCCCAGCGAGUCGCUUCUAUCGGCUGCCCCUGUGCUGGGUGAGCUGCUUUUUGUGAAGGAUGAUGCCGCUCUCGGUUGCGUCGAGAAGGCCGCGGGGCUGUGCUGCGCCGUCUUUCGCCGUUAUGCCCGCGACUGCAUUGCGAACGAGAUGUCGAAGAGAGACCCCAAAACUCUCUACGAUGUGCGCCAGAUGCUGUACGCCAAGCUGGAGCGACCCAACACAAUUCAGGCACUCGAGUCGCUCGCGGUGGACGAUUUUUCUCUCGUCACCGGACUGCCGCCGUGUCUCUUCCACAAGGGCACGUACAACUCACAGCUUAACGUGGACGAGGACACCCUCAAGGCGGCGUGCAAUGUUCCGAUUCACGGGGAUGUGGUUGUGGUCCGAUUUGGCGUCAAGAACACAGGCUACACCGCCUUCUUUGGCCGCACGCUACUGGUGGUGUCGGCAGCACCGUCGAACGCGAAAGAAGCGUAUCAGUUCGCCUACGAUGUGAGCGCGAAGCUCAUGGAGCUCCUUGUCCCUGGCGCGCGGCUGAGCGACGUGUACGCUGGCGCCAUGCAGUACGCGACGAACCAGAACUCUGACCUGGCCGUGCUCCUAGUGAAAAACUUUGGUUUCUCUACGGGCCUUCUCGUCCUCGAGGCACGCGGAACCAUUUCGGAGAAGGGUACCGCGAUCGUCGCCGACGGGAUGAGCUUCGUGAUACGCGUCGUGCUCGAAUCUGUCCCCAGCGCAGGCGGUAAGGACACGUUUGACAUGGAGCUCACCGACACGGUAAUCAUACGCGGCGGUGUGGCGGAGCUCAAGACAAAGGUGGCGCGCAAACUGGCAGAGGUUCUCUACGAAGACCUCGAUGAAACGGCCGCCGCGACGGAGGCCGCACAGCAGGUGCGGCGUGACUUAAGCAAGAUCACUCGUCAGGGUCAGUCCGACACCGUGAUGAUCUCGCGCGAGGCGCAGCGUGAGCAGGAGCUGCGGCAGCUCCUCAGCGAGCUGCACGCAGAAUUCGUGGCGGCAGGUGGCAAAAAAGGGACGCAGAUCUCGACGGAGGAGUACCGCGCAUGCGACAUUGGCCGCCUGUCGCUUGGCGAGCUGACUCCUUACAAGCCGGAGGACCGGGUGCCGCCGCCGGAGAGCAAGGGCGGAAUCUUUGUGCAGACGGACAAGAAGGUUGUGUGGCUCCCGGUAUGCGGCCGCGCCGUGCCCUUUCACGCGUCGACAGUGAACAGGGUGGAUGUCAAGACUGAGGGCGGCAAGUACACUAUGACAGUCACAUUCCAUGCCAUGCAGGAGGCCAACGUGGGCUACAAACUGAACCCCACCAAGGUGUUCGUGAAGGAGCUGGGGUACUCGAGCUCGAGGGAUGUGUUCACGGACUCUGCAAUCGCUAUUCAAGGCAUUCAGCAACGCAUCAAGAACGAGGACGCUGCCCGAAAGCGUGCCCUCACCUCUGCCUCCAACGGGAGGCUGACAGUGACGCCCAAUCCGCUGCGUCUCCCGACAGUGAAGAUUCGCCCGCCGAUCACGAACGCGAACCGUCAAAACAAGGGCUGCGUGGGCAAUCUCGAGCUGCAUGCGAACGGGCUGCGUUUCUCAUUUCUCGGGGGUACCCCAAUUGACAUGCUGUUCGAAAACAUCAAGCACGUCAUUUUUCAACCUGCAGUGAAGAGCAUCUACGUUAUUUACCACGUUACGCUGAAAAAGCCGAUCGAGAUCAACCGCAAAAACGUGCUGGAGGUUCAGUUCGUGGCAGAGGUGAUGGAGAGCAGCGAGCUCGCGAGUGCUGCUCGGAGAUCGUUCGAAGAGGAGGUCCAGGCAGAGGAGCGCGAUGAGAUGCGCAUCCGGCAGACAAACAAGCAGUUCAUCACCUUUGCCCACGCCGUGGAAGAGCGAAGCAAGAUCAAGACGCAGCUGCCUACAAACCAGUUCUCCUUCGAUGGCGUUCACGCUCGCUCCAUGACCAUGUUCAAAGGCAAUCGCGAGGUCCUCUGGGCUAUCACCGACACCCCAGCCUUCACACAGAGCGUCGACGAGGUCGAGGUGGUCUCCUUUGAGCGCAUUAUCCCAGGCAGCGCUACGUUCGACAUGUCGCUCAUCCUGAAGGACUACAACAAGCCGGUCAUCACCAUCAACUCGAUCCCGCGCGACUCGCUGGAAAACAUUAAGGAUUGGUGCCUGAGUGCACGGCUCUACUACAUGGAGACUACUGUGAACCCCAACUGGCGAGCCACGAUGAAGGAGAUCCGCGAAGACCCCGACUGGGACCCGUGGCUACGCGGGGACGGCUGGUCGGUUCUCAACAACGUGACGAACGACGAGGAGGAAGAGGAGGAGGACGACGAUUCCGACUCGGACUCGACGUACUACGAGGAUGACGAUGAGACCUCCGAUUCCGACGACAGCUCCUGGCUCGAGGACGAGGAGAGUGACCCGUCGUCAGGCAGCGACGAGAGCGACGAGUCCAGCGCCGCCAGCUGGGACGAGCUGGAGCGUCGAGCAGCCGCCAAAGACCGUCAGAGGGACUUCAGCGACGACGACGACUACCACCCACGUAAGCGGCAGCGUGCCGGUGCCGCGACACCUGCGCUACCGGCCGCGCCCGCUACGCGACCCUCAAAGGUGCCGCUGAACAUGGCUGGGCGCGCAGGCGGCGGCGCUGUUCCGCCGGCUCGCCGAUUCUAGGACCGUUCCGGCGCAGUGGACGGUAUUGUGUGUGCGUGCAUGGGUGAAUGAAAGCGCCGACGUGGUAUUGGUCAAGCUUUCCUCGUUACUCAUACGAUGUGCCUGUGCACUACUGCGUAGGGGCGCUGAUACGUAGCGCAUUCACAUAGCCCCACAAGUGCGCCUAUUGGUGACGAAGCAGGAGCCGCUCGGGUAGGCAGAGGUGAGACUGCUGGGAAUGGUGGUGCCAUGCCUCUAGCAUUUCUGCGUUAACUGUGCGCAUGAGCGUGACAGGGCCUAUUGCUGUUGUGUUUUUUUUAUUCAUUUUCCUAUCCGCCUUGGUUCUCUCGCAUAGAUAAAUCAGUGGACGGUUGUAAACGAAGAGCGUCUUGCAGCGGAGCAAGAAGAAGGAGUGGAAUGUGACAGAUGUGUUGAGGGAAUAUGCGGUCUAUCGGUCAAGAUGCAAAG